UCUAGUGACCGAUAGUGAACCAGUACCGUGAGGGAAAGGUGAAAAGCACCCCGGAAGGGGAGUGAAAUAGAACCUGAAACCGUGUGCUUACAAGUAGUCAGAGCCCGUUAAUGGGUGAUGGCGUGCCUUUUGUAGAAUGAACCGGCGAGUUACGAUUUGAUGCAAGGUUAAGCAGUAAAUGUGGAGCCGUAGCGAAAGCGAGUCUGAAUAGGGCGUUUAGUAUUUGGUCGUAGACCCGAAACCAGGUGAUCUACCCUUGGUCAGGUUGAAGUUCAGGUAACACUGAAUGGAGGACCGAACCGACUUACGUUGAAAAGUGAGCGGAUGAACUGAGGGUAGCGGAGAAAUUCCAAUCGAACCUGGAGAUAGCUGGUUCUCUCCGAAAUAGCUUUAGGGCUAGCCUCAAGUGAUGAUUAUUGGAGGUAGAGCACUGUUUGGACGAGGGGCCCCUCUCGGGUUACCGAAUUCAGACAAACUCCGAAUGCCAAUUAAUUUAACUUGGGAGUCAGAACAUGGGUGAUAAGGUCCGUGUUCGAAAGGGAAACAGCCCAGACCACCAGCUAAGGUCCCAAAAUAUAUGUUAAGUGGAAAAGGAUGUGGCGUUGCCCAGACAACUAGGAUGUUGGCUUAGAAGCAGCCAUCAUUUAAAGAGUGCGUAAUAGCUCACUAGUCGAGUGACACUGCGCCGAAAAUGUACCGGGGCUAAACAUAUUACCGAAGCUGUGGAUUGUCCUUUGGACAAUGGUAGGAGAGCGUUCUAAGGGCGUUGAAGCAUGAUCGUAAGGACAUGUGGAGCGCUUAGAAGUGAGAAUGCCGGUGUGAGUAGCGAAAGACGGGUGAGAAUCCCGUCCACCGAUUGACUAAGGUUUCCAGAGGAAGGCUCGUCCGCUCUGGGUUAGUCGGGUCCUAAGCUGAGGCCGACAGGCGUAGGCGAUGGAUAACAGGUUGAUAUUCCUGUACCACCUAUAAUCGUUUUA
rnacentral:rRNA from 1 species